AUUGAACGCUGGCGGCAUGCUUUACACAUGCAAGUCGAACGGCAGCACGGGCUUCGGCCUGGUGGCGAGUGGCGAACGGGUGAGUAAUGCAUCGGAACGUACCGUGUAAUGGGGGGAUAACGUAGUGAAAGUUACGCUAAUACCGCAUACGCCCUGAGGGGGAAAGCGGGGGAUCGUAAGACCUCGCGUUAUACGAGCGGCCGAUGUCGGAUUAGCUAGUUGGUGGGGUAAAGGCCUACCAAGGCGACGAUCCGUAGCGGGUCUGAGAGGAUGAUCCGCCACACUGGGACUGAGACACGGCCCAGACUCCUACGGGAGGCAGCAGUGGGGAAUUUUGGGACAAUGGGCGCAAGCCUGAUCCAGCCAUGCCGCGUGAGUGAAGAAGGCCUUCGGGUUGUAAAGCUCUUUCAGCAGGGAAGAGUCAAGACUGUACCUGCAGAAGAAGCCCCGGCUAACUACGUGCCAGCAGCCGCGGUAA
rnacentral:rRNA from 1 species